AUGGGAAACACCAUCGGUUCUGCUUCUCUGGUGAAGCAGGAUGUGCCCGAGACGUGGUCGACGAGCCUUACGGAGGGCGACACCGCGGCGCACAGUUUCGAGGUCACGGGCUUCUCGCUGCUCGACGGCAUGGGCGCCGGGAACUUCAUCUCGUCGAGCACGUUCUGCGUUGGCGGCUGCGAGUGGGACAUCACGUUCUACCCCGACGGGUCAAAGGAGGACGGAGGCGCCCACGCCUCCGCUUAUCUGCGUCUAUGCAAUGGAGAACUAGGGUUGCAGACCAACUACACUCUGAGUCUAUUGGGGAAGGAUGGCCAAGUGUUUGAGCAACGGAGCCUAGAACAUACCUUCCAGUCCGCAGGUAUUUUUUGGGGCUUCGACGACUUUGUCCAAAAGUCAAAGCUGCGGCGGCUGCUAUCCGGCAACGACGACUGUGUAACGAUCAGGUGUGUCUUGACGGUCUUGAAAGAGCGCCACGUGGAAGAAGUGAGCACGUUCAUCGUCCCGAUCCCGCCCUCAAACUUUCACCAAGACUUUGGGAACAUGUUGAAGGACGGGGAAGGCACGGAUGUGACGUUCGUCGUGGGCGACCAAUCGUUUCAGGCUCAUAGGUUUGUGUUGGCCGCUCGCACGCCGUUCUUCAGGGCGGAGCUCUUCGGUCCGAUGAAAGAGAACAAGAUGCAGUGCAUCAACAUCGAUGACGUGGAGCCCUCUGUAUUCAAGGCGCUUCUUCACUUUAUAUACAUAGAUGCCCUGCCGGAUAAUCGCGAUCUGAAGAAGAGCACGACACUGCAGCAUUUGUUGGUUGCCGCGGAUCGGUAUGGGUUGGACAGGCUAGCCGCAAUGUGUGAAGGAGAGCUAUGCCGAAGCAUUGACGUGCAGGCAGUUGCAACCACCCUAACUUUAGCGAAGCAGCAUUGUCACGAGCGACUGAAAGACAUUUGCAUUGACUUUAUGUCUUCGCGGGAUGUGUUCGGUGAUGUCAAGAAGACCGAUGGAUUCAAGCACCUUGUGACAAGCUGUCCAGAGGUCAUAUCAGAUAUUUUACAAGAAAAUUUGCCGUUGCCAGAGGUAGGAGUAAUUUACAUAAGAACUCUUUUUACGUGUUAA
rnacentral:rRNA from 1 species